rnacentral:tRNA from 1 species
UUUAUUUUGGCAGAUUAGUGCGAAGGAUUUAGAAUCUUUAAAUGUAUUUUAUACAAAUAAAA